rnacentral:rRNA from 1 species
AGAGUUUGAUCCUGGCUCAGGAUGAACGCUAGCGGCGUGCUUAAUACAUGCAAGUCGAACGGAGUUGUUUUAAUCAUGAUGUAGCUUGCUAUGGAUUGAUUUUUACAACUUAGUGGCGGACGGGUGAGUAACGCGUGGGUAACCUGCCCUGUACAGGGGGAUAACGGUUGGAAACGACCGCUAAAACCGCAUAACAUCGGAAUACCGCAUGAUGUUCCGGUCAAAUAUUUAUAGGUACAGGAUGGGCCCGCGUCUGAUUAGCUAGUUGGCGAGGUAACGGCCCACCAAGGCGACGAUCAGUAGCCGUACUGAGAGGUAGAACGGCCACAUUGGGACUGAGACACGGCCCAAACUCCUACGGGAGGCAGCAGUAGGGAAUAUUGGUCAAUGGGGGAAACCCUGAACCAGCGACGCCGCGUGAGUGAAGAAGUAUUUCGGUAUGUAAAGCUCUAUCAGCAGGGACGAUAAUGACGGUACCUGACUAAGAAGCCCCGGCUAACUACGUGCCAGCAGCCGCGG